GACUUGUUUCAAUUUGUGAUUCAUCUAUAAAUGUACUUCUAUGUCGUUCUAAUUUUUAAAACACCAUUAUUUCAUUAUCAAAAAUGAAAGUUGCUUUCAAACCUUGGUUUAUUGGUUUCGUUAUGCUCGCAAUUCUUCUGUUUGGAGAAAGGGCUAUUGCUCGGACAGGAGAAAAUAGGUGGUGUUUCACAACUUUAACACCUAUACCAUCAUCAAAAAAUCCCAACCCUCCAAGAUGUACUCCCGAUAGCUGUGAAGCCUUAUGUCUCAAAAAGAAAAAAGCACUGAUAAGUAAAUGCCUUAGAAUAAAUUACGGAUGCAUGUGUCGGAUUGACUGCGCUAACUGAUUUUUUAUAUACAUUAAAACUCGAAUAAUAUUUAUAAUAAUACUAUGUAUUUGUCAUAAAUAAAUAUAAAUAACAAAUAUUGAUACAUGUAUCUUCAUCUC